ACUGAUUAGAAGCUUGCUUCUAUGACGUUAGCGGCGGACGGGUGAGUAACACGUGGGCAACCUGCCUGUAAGACUGGGAUAACUUCGGGAAACCGAAGCUAAUACCGGAUAGGAUCUUCUCCUUCAUGGGAGAUGAUUGAAAGAUGGUUUCGGCUAUCACUUACAGAUGGGCCCGCGGUGCAUUAGCUAGUUGGUGAGGUAACGGCUCACCAAGGCAACGAUGCAUAGCCGACCUGAGAGGGUGAUCGGCCACACUGGGACUGAGACACGGCCCAGACUCCUACGGGAGGCAGCAGUAGGGAAUCUUCCGCAAUGGACGAAAGUCUGACGGAGCAACGCCGCGUGAGUGAUGAAGGCUUUCGGGUCGUAAAACUCUGUUGUUAGGGAAGAACAAGUACAAGAGUAACUGCUCGUACCUUGACGGUACCUAACCAGAAAGCCACGGCUAACUACGUGCCAGCAGCCGCGGUAAUACGUAGGUGGCAAGCGUUAUCCGGAAUUAUUGGGCGUAAAGCGCGCGCAGGCGGUUUCUUAAGUCUGAUGUGAAAGCCCACGGCUCAACCGUGGAGGGUCAUUGGAAACUGGGGAACUUGAGUGCAGAAGAGAAAAGCGGAAUUCCACGUGUAGCGGUGAAAUGCGUAGAGAUGUGGAGGAACACCAGUGGCGAAGGCGGCUUUUUGGUCUGUAACUGACGCUGAGGC
rnacentral:rRNA from 1 species